rnacentral:lncRNA from 1 species
CACAUCAAAAUGAUUAUCGUCGAAUAAUCGUUCCGAUCCGGAUUUCCGGAAGUGUCAAUUUCGACACCGAAAUCCACCAUUGCUCACCCGUCGUUUUCGAACUCUCGAAAUGAUGCGGGUGACCAGCCAACAAGGCUCAGUGACAACAUGAUCUACCGUGAGACAUCGUUGGAAGAAUUUUGAACCGAAAUCGCAUUCUGUCGGCGGAUUUUGCCGAAAAACGCACCGAAA